CGACCCUGCCUUCGGGGCGGGGGCUCCGGGUGGACACUUCAAACUCUUGCGUAACUUUGCAGUCUGAGUAAACUUAAUUAAUAAAUUAAAACUUUUAACAACGGAUCUCUUGGUUCUGGCAUCGAUGAAGAACGCAGCGAAAUGCGAUAAGUAAUGUGAAUUGCAGAAUUCAGUGAAUCAUCGAAUCUUUGAACGCACAUUGCGCCCCCUGGUAUUCCGGGGGGCAUGCCUGUUCGAGCGUCAUUUCACCACUCAAGCCUCGCUUGGUAUUGGGCAUCGCGGUCCGCCGCGUGCCUCAAAUCGACCGGCUGGGUCUUCUGUCCCCUAAGCGUUGUGGAAACUAUUCGCUAAAGGGUGUUCGGGAGGCUACGCCGUAAAACAACCCCAUUUCUAAGGUUGACCUCGGAUCAGGUAGGGAUACCCGCUGAACUUAAGCAUAUCAAUAAGCGGAGGAAAAGAAACCAACAGGGAUUGCCCCAGUAACG
rnacentral:rRNA from 1 species